rnacentral:rRNA from 1 species
UCGGGAAUUUUGGGCAAUGGGGGAAACCCUGACCCAGCAACGCCGCGUGAAGGAUGAAGUAUUUCGGUAUGUAAACUUCGAAAGAAUAGGAAGAAUAAAUGACGGUACUAUUUAUAAGGUCCGGCUAACUACGUGCCAGCAGCCGCGGUAAUACGUAGGGACCAAGCGUUGUUCGGAUUUACUGGGCGUAAAGGGCGCGUAGGCGGCAUGACAAGUCACUUGUGAAAUCUCUGGGCUUAACCCAGAACGGCCAAGUGAUACUGUCGCGCUAGAGUGCAGAAGGGGCAAUCGGAAUUCUUGGUGUAGCGGUGAAAUGCGUAGAUAUCAGGAGGAACACCGGUGGCGAAGGCGGGUCUCUGGGCAGUAACUGACGCUGAGGAACGAAAGCGUGGGUAGCGAACAGGAUUAGAUACCCCAGUAGUCCCUGAGCGGGCUGGCAAGGCGCAU